UCCUGGCUCAGGAUUAACGCUGGCGGUACGUCUAAUACAUGCAAGUCGAACGGAGCACAUGUGCUCAGUGGCGAACGGGUGAGUAACACGUAGGUAACCUGCCCUUAAGACGAGGAUAACUCUGGGAAACUAGAGCUAAUACUGGAUUGGAAGCGACCUUGGCAUCAAGGAAGCUUGAAAGGUGCGAUAGCACCGCUUAAGGAGGGGCCUGCGGCGCAUUAGUUAGUUGGUGAGGUAACGGCUCACCAAGACAAUGAUGCGUAGCUGGACUGAGAGGUUGAACAGCCACACUGGGACUGAGAACGGCCCAGACUCCUACGGGAGGCAGCAGUAGAGAAUCUUCGGCAAUGGGGGGAACCCUGACCGAGCGAUACCGCGUGAUUGAAGAAAUACUUCGGUAUGUAAAGAUCUUUUACAAAGGAUGAAUGGCGUCAGUAGGAAAUGACUGACGAGUGACAGUACUUUAGGAAUAAGCCCCGGCUAACUAUGUGCCAGCAGCCGCGGUAAUACAUAGGGGGCAAGCGUUAUCCGGAAUUAUUGGGCGUAAAGGGUGCGUAGGCGGCUAGUUAAGUUCAAGGUCUAAAUUUAAGGCUCAACCUUAAAAUGCUUUGAAAACUGGCUAGCUUGAGAGAGGUAGAGGCAAGUGGAAUUCCAUGUGUAGCGGUAAAAUGCGUAAAUAUAUGGAGGAACACCAGUGGCGAAGGCGGCUUGCUGGGCCUUAUCUGACGCUGAUGCAGGAAAGCGUGGGGAGCAAACAGGAUUAGAUACCCUGGUAGUCCACGCCGCAAAAAAGGAGUACUAAGUGUCGGCUAAAAGUGCGGUGCUGCCAGUUAACGCAUUUAAGUACUCCG
rnacentral:rRNA from 1 species